CCCUAUAUGAUGUUCAUAGACAGAAUUUGAGUCAGUGUUUUAAAAUCUCCAUUACGUUGUUGUAUAAGUGUUUGCUUGUAGUAGUACCGUCCUGAAGUUUUAUCCACUCUACAAAUUUAGGUCUAUGCGCCCACAUGGGCAUAGCUCAUCAAUGCGCAGCAUUGGUUUUUGUUUUUAUAUCAGGAUUAGUAUUAUGUCUAACACUCUUACAGGUACCGUUAAGUGGUUUAACGAGUCUAAAGGUUUUGGUUUCAUCGCUCAAGAAAAUGGCCCUGACGUGUUCGCACACUUCAGCGCAAUUACAGGUGACGGUUUCCGUACCCUAGCUGAAGGCGACAGAGUAGAGUUCACAGUUACUGACGGCCAGAAAGGUCCUCAAGCUGAGAAAAUCGUUAAGCUUUAAUCGCUUAAUUGAUGAAGAAAAAGCAAGCUAAGGCUUGCUUUUUUUG
rnacentral:sRNA from 1 species